rnacentral:rRNA from 1 species
UCUGCCCGCUGGCGGCGUGCCUAAUACAUGCAAGUCGAGCGAACGGACGAGAAGCUUGCUUCUCUGAUGUUAGCGGCGGACGGGUGAGUAACACGUGGAUAACCUACCUAUAAGACUGGGAUAACUUCGGGAAACCGGAGCUAAUACCGGAUAAUAUUAUGAACCGCAUGGUUCAAAAGUGAAAGACGGUCUUGCUGUCACUUAUAGAUGGAUCCGCGCUGCAUUAGCUAGUUGGUAAGGUAACGGCUUACCAAGGCAACGAUGCAUAGCCGACCUGAGAGGGUGAUCGGCCACACUGGAACUGAGACACGGUCCAGACUCCUACGGGAGGCAGCAGUAGGGAAUCUUCCGCAAUGGGCGAAAGCCUGACGGAGCAACGCCGCGUGAGUGAUGAAGGUCUUCGGAUCGUAAAACUCUGUUAUUAGGGAAGAACAUAUGUGUAAGUAACUGUGCACAUCUUGACGGUACCUAAUCAGAAAGCCACGGCUAACUACGUG